AAACAUGGAGAGCCUUAAAGUAUGUGUCCUUUCCCAAAAACAAAGCAGGAUUUUCUGACAGAUAACUGGUAUUUUUCUUACCUUCCUUAGUUUGAAGUAAAAGGAGUUGAAUAUGAAUAAAUAAAGCAAUUGGCCAUAGCUUACAACCAUUGAAAAGAAUGAAAUAGAGUUUGUUGAAAAUUGAACUUUUCAUUCAAAAUUCCUUUGUAUUUUAAACGAUGAGGAGAAAAAUGAAAGUGUCCUCUUCUUUCAGGAAAAUUGGAGCUGCAAGCAGGAGCUGACAUCCCCAGAGGCAUGCUGGUGAGAUUCUGAGAAGACAGACUGGCAGAAGAGCCAGCAAGACUGACUUACCAUGUGUGAAUAAACUCAGUAACCAUUUCUGCAUUCUUUGGUACCUCCAUUUUACAUGGUCCCUACAGGACAUAAAGUAAAUGGGGCUGCAAAUGAAGAAACGGAUGCACGUGUGGAAAAUCAACCCGUACAGAAGACAGAUGCUUGUUUUCUUGUGGCAGAAAUGCGGAUGAUGCCCUAUGACAGUUGUGAAGAACACCAACAAAAUGGUUGCUGGAAAAUAGCAGCAAUCACCUCUGUUACUCUACAGAUGCCCUUUGUGAUAGGCAUUAGUACAGAGCUUUCUCCUUCACAAUUAUUAAAACAGAGUUCUGCCAUAUUUGGAGAGCAGUAUUCAGAUGCAGAUUGCCUUAAAUCCCAUCAACCUAUUCAAGCGUUUGUACGCAAGUGUGCCUGUUUCUGUGUAUAUGUGUGCAUGUGUUUAGAUGCAUUUAUCUAUAUAUACAACACUCACUCUGUGCACACCUUCUCUCCAUCCUCUCGCUCAGAGAGAAAGAGCUAAAUUGUCAAAGGCGAGAAUGUGUAUUUUCCAGGCUACUUUGUCAGAUGUUCGUGUGUGUGUCUUAUAAAUAUUUCAUACCAAAUAUUUAACAUUAUUCCUUCCCCAAUCGGAUCAGCUUUGAAAUGCUCCUCAAAGUGAAUUCUCCCCUAACAAUGGCUUGACGCAAAAGCCUUUUUUCUCUCUUAAGAAGAGGAGGCUGCACAUGGUCUGCUACCAUAGCAGCAUGAAUAGUUCUUAUUUAAUGGAAAAUAAAAGAUACUUUACAUUAAUUCAGUGGGGGAUGGAAAGCUGGGCACAUGCGUACCUUGUGCUUCAAACAUGGAGGAGCAUCAUACCUUGACCUCCCCUCCUCUGGUCCCAUGAUUAUUACCCGGCUUGCAUUAGAACCGUAAUGGGAAGUGACAAGUUUAUGUAAAUGAUCCACACAAGGAUUUUGCUCUUGUAAAACAGAGCAGUUACUCUGGGCUUUCUAAUUAUUUCAUGCCUUGUGGUUCUGUGACGGGGCAGAGAUGACUAUUACUUGAAAAGUAUAUUGUGAUUGACAAGCCACUGUCCCCCUGGAACUCAUUAAGGCCUGUGCUUUGCAAGAGGGGGUAGAAAACUCUACCAGGCACACCACAUGCACUCAGGCGCACGCACACAUGCUUGCCCUAGUGCCAGUUGUUCUUUCAGAUCGUUUGUUUUUACACUAGUAGAGAAAAGCAAAAUCUGCAUGUAUCUCAAAAAAGUUCCACAUCCUGGUUACAAAUUGACCGAUUAUCAUCUGCUUUUCCAUUUUUAACUUAAAAUCUAAGAUUAACAGCAACAUAUCUAUCAAACGUAUAAAGGUCUUUGGAUUUUACUUACUGUAUGGAAAAAGAUCUUUUAUAUCAUAAUGUUUGACAGAAUGGAGAGCAGAGAAGGGCUUGGAUAAGAAAAGAGGGCUACGAUAAAAGCUGCCACUAGUACAUUUCUGCUGCAAUGCGAUUUGUGCAAGUGCCUUCCAGUACGUAUGGAGGGCCAUCCUGCUGCCUCUGCGUGACAUGUUUGCCUUUCUUUCUUAAUUGAUUUUUCUGGCCUUCAAACUUGCAAACAAAAUGACAAUUUGUUUGGUGAAAGUAGAGCUCCUGUCUUUUGAAACAUAUACUGCAUUCCAACCAUGGAGAGAGGAAAAAUCCUAUUCAGCAGCUGCAUUAAUGCUUUCCAUUGUAGAAGUGGUUUUGAAUUCUGCUGCUGCUUUUGGAUGUAACACAGUUUAGCAUAAAAUCAAUUCAUUGUUAACUCCAUAGUGGUUGGAUCUUAUGGGCCUGCAGCAUUUCUUACUUUCAGUUACUUUUUAUUUGUGGUUGAGAAACUCUGGAAAAAAAACUUCAGAAAAGCACUUGGCCCACUUGAAUUCUUCCAUUAGAGAGCACUGGCACUCUGCAUACAUCUAGCUUUCUCAGUGUUGGCUCAAAUAGAAUUAAAUAAAUAAACAAAACAAAAAGAACAUACACUAAAACCUCACCUCUUUUUGGCUUUACUGUUUCAAUUUGACCAGGCAUUGAGUACUCAAUUUGUGAUGUUUCUAGCAACCCAUAUGACUAUGUCUGUUCUGUUUCAUAAAGGUACUACAUUGAAGUAACAGCAGCCCAUCAUCUGUGUAUAAUUCCUUUGUUAGACCUAAUCUGUCAGAUUUCCCUCCAAAACGUCUGGGACAUGGACAUUCAAUUGGGAAAAAA